rnacentral:rRNA from 1 species
UACGGAGGGUGCAAGCGUUAUCCGGAUUUACUGGGUUUAAAGGGUGCGUAGGUGGGCGAGAAAGUCAGUGGUGAAAUCUCCGGGCUUAACUCGGAAAGGUCAACUGAUACUGUGCGACUAGAGUGCAGAAGGGGCAACUGGAAUUCUCGGUGUAGCGGUGAAAUGCGUAGAUAUCGAGAGGAACACCUGCGGCGAAGGCGGGUUGCUGGGCUGACACUGACGCUGAUGCGCGAAAGCCAGGGGAGCAAACGGG